GAUGAACGCUGGCGGCGUGCCUAAUACAUGCAAGUCGAACGCAUUGUGGUUGAAAUGAUAUGAAGAACUUGUUCAGAUUUGAUUUUUCAACAUUGCAAUGAGUGGCGAACGGGUGAGUAACACGUGGGAAACCUACCUCUUAGCAGGGGAUAACAUUUGGAAACAAAUGCUAAUACCGUAUAAUAAUUAAACCGCAUGGUUUUAGUUUAAAAGAUGGUCUUGCUAUCACUAAGAGAUGGUCCCGCGGUGUAUUAGUAGUUGGUGAGGUAAUGGCUCACCAAGACAAUGAUACAUAGCCGAGUUGAGAGACUGACCGGCCACAAUGGGACUGAGACACGGCCCAUACUCCUACGGGAGGCAGCAGUA
rnacentral:rRNA from 1 species